UUGUUUGCUUUUCCCCUCACUUUGCUCUUCUGAUUCUCUCCCACAUUCUGCCAAGGACAAGUGACCAAGUGGCUGGGUGAAAGCUGACCUGCCAGCCAGGGUCAGCCCACCACAGGAUGAUAGAAUAGGUCCUCCAGAAAAGGUUUUCCACCUUUGGAAUAUAGCUAUUUUAAAAGAAACACAAAACUAAUCAUGGACUGCAUUUUCAGGGAAUGCCACAGCAAGUAAAAGAGCUGUUAUUCACAGGUAUGGACUGUUAUUUGUAUGAAGUUAUUCAUUUGUAUAGACUGAAAUGAUACAAAAAACCCCAAAGGUAUCACCUUAACAGAUUUAAGGCAGUGAAACUGACUUUGCAAUAUCUGCCCUUAGCUGUGAUACUUAUAAAGUUUACAUCUUUAUAUUGUUUAAUCUAACCUAGUGGAAAUUAAUAAUAUAGUACCGUAAAAAAAUACCGUGAGGGAAAACUUUCCAAAGAUACAGGGAAAGUAAAAAGAUGAUAACUAUACACUUAGCAGCCCAUGUUUCCUCAUCUUAUUCUAUUUUAUAGGCUAGGGAGCUUGAUUAAAUCUCCAUUAAAACAACUGAAAUUUGCCAUAGAGGUCUUCAUUUACUUAUUUAUUAAUAAUAUAGCACUGUCAGUGAGCAUAAGGUGACCUAAUUGUUCUGAACAAUUCAUAUAGUCACUUUCCCAAAGAGAUUAUGUUCUCAACUUGUACUGUAUCGAAAUAAAAACCUGUAUAAUGUGUAUGUUCUUACAGAGAAGUUCUUUAUAUAAGAUUGUCUGAAAACAAGGCCCAAUGGUGGAUGGACAGUUUUGGGUGUGGAUUAAUGCACUAGUUUUCCUUUCAGAAACGUGGUGGGCCACAGUUUUGGCCACAGCUGAAAAUGUGUCUGAUGUCCUCAGCUUUAUUCUUGGUGUAGAUAUGCAUAUGGCUGAAGGCAAUCUAUAGUUACUCUUUGGGCCUGAUGUGUGCCAUGGGAAUUCUACAGUUCUGUAGAAGAGAUUGCAGUGACUAUGAAAGACAGAAUCCUGCAGUAUGUUGUUUGGGAAUGGUUUUUUUCAUUUAGAAAAGUUUGCAAAGUAUCUUCUUUUCCACCGGUUCUGAGUGUCUCAAGAGCUAAAUACACAUAAUUCCUUUUUCAAUGUUUUUGUCAGACUGUCAGAUUACAUUACCAAAUGAAAAAUUGACUCCUGUGUAAAACCAGUGACAGCAUAAUUUCAGCUUUGUGUUUUAGGGUGAGAACUCUACAGAACAGGGCAGAAACGUAGUUACAGAAAUAAUUUCAUGGUACAAUACUGGUGGGCUUUCAAAUGAAGCUUUUUGAAUGUCAUAAUCUAGUGUAGAUUUGUAAAAAUAGAUUUAAUACAGAUGAGAAUAUGUUUACGUUAGCUCAGCUCUUUUGGCUGAACAAUAUAUGUUGAUGUAUGGUUUGUUUUUUAACUUGUCAUAGUUCUGAAAUUAUAGAUGUGCAAUGUUAUGCUGAGUUGCACUGAUAGCUACGUUUAUGCUCAGUGCCACAUUCAGAGACACCUGAGAGCAUUGCAGGAGACGACGUCAUAGGUUUUAACAAUGGCAAGAAUGUGCAGAUCAGGAACAUCUGAGCUGAAAAGGGGCUGCUUUCAUCUUUGUGGUUCAGGUGCAUAUCUUCAUCACAGUUGUUAACGGUGCCUCAGAUAUGACACCAAUCUGAGAGGCUGGUUGUCUCUUGAGCAUUCAGCACAGCGUGCUUAGCUAUAUCUGCUCACACUUGAUUUUGUCUUUCUGUCCAACUAGAAAAAUUCUAGUUGGCUGGUUCAGCAGAGCGAAUGCUCGGUGCAGAGGUUUGUUUUUCAAUAGCUUCUUUUUCCUAAGAAAAGCCAAAACGAUAUUGGCUUCAUCUGUUUUCCCAUUUAAGUUAAAUGUCUGGUUGUUCUACCGUUUCAGGCCUCAAUGUCUUUUCAGUAAGGUUGAUUGUUCUUUCAGACAGCUCUAGGUAUGACAGGUGUCUUUUAGUAAUGGAUAAAAAUGUGUGAACUACUUCCAGCAAUGGGAACCAGACAGAUACGGUAACUUCUGACAAGAUAUGACAACGUACAACGUAUCAUCUGUCCCUUGUGCUCAAGGUACUGUAAAAAUCUGUAUACAGACAGAUAGAAAAGUCAACUACUUUGCAAUAUCUGCCUGUGUGCAGACAGUUGGUAAAUACAGUGUGAUUUGAAAUACAUUAGUGGUCAAAGAAGGCUGGCCUAUCAUAUAUUUAUUGUAGGUUAGAAUGUGUAGAGAGAUAGCUGGGAGUUUGAUAGUGGAUAGCCAUGAUAGUUUGCAUCAUUAUGCAAACUUGUUUGUAUAUCAGUGAAGACUAGUAAUUUUUUUAUGUAUGAGCUUUGCUGUGUGAAUCUAAUGUGAUCGCUGCAUUAUAAUUCCACAAAGACUGGAAAAAAAUCUCAUGUUGUUGAAUAGUUUAUAAAAAAUAUUGUAAACUGAAUUGCAUGUCAGGUUUGUAUAUGAAUGAAUGAAUCCUAAAAGCCACAGUGAUGAUUUAUUUUACUUUUUCCAGUGCUGAUUGUUUAUCAACUUUUGUUAUUUUUUCAACACUAAUUAGUAUUUGUAAAGUAGUGCUAUAUAUGAACUUGCAAAACAUAUUGCUUCCUGUACAAAAUCAGAAUAUGCAUACGUGUAUAAAUAAAAAUUAUUAGAAUAUUUUCAGAACUAAAAUAUAUUAAUGCUGUCCAUGAAUUUUAACAAUUUUUGUGUUCUGCAUUCACUGUAAAACUAUUCAGAAGAGCGAGCUGAAAAACUAUUCGUAUGAAUACACUUUCAUGAAAACUUCUCCUUAAAUUGCAACUGAACAGAUAUGAAAUUAAGACACACUUGAUUUUAUGUUUAGAGGAAAAUAAAACAAAAAUCCCUCUUCAAAGUCUUCAGAACCGGCAUUUCACACCCUUUCCCUAAGAACUGGUUUACUCAUCUGAUUUAUUUCAUAUUAGUUGGCAAAUUAUUCUCAAAUUGCAGUGUUUGAUGCAGUUGACUUGCUAUAGUAAGUAAAUAAAUAAAGCUCCCUACUUUGUUACUAGAGCUAUUUAAAAUAUAAUAAUGCAGGCAAUGAUUCUCAGGAUUUAGCCUGACUAGGAAAUCAUUUGGAAACAGUGGUAGUUUUUUUCUCUGAUGGUCUAUUUACUAUUAUGUAGGGUGGAGAAUGAGGUCUUCAUUUGGAUAGUUCAGUGUUCAGUGUUCUGAUCCAAAAAGGCAUAGUUAGUUUGAACUGUUUAUUCAAUUUAUAUUGAAGUGCUUUCUUUACUACAAAGGGCUAAACCACUUAUGACUCAGGAGAUAAUUAAAAAUAUUUGGGGUAUUUCGGUACACCAUGUUUGCAUUGGCUGAUGAGUCUCAAAAAAAUUAAAACAGUUUAUAUAGAAGUAGCUCAUUUUAACUCACUGAAGAAAGAUUUAUUUUGCUUUUCCUCUUCUUUUCUAAACAAACAUACAAAUACAAGCCAGACCUUGAAGAUCAGACAAAAGUCUAAAAAAUAAUCACAUUUCCCUAAAGAAUAUUUGUUUACUAAUUUUUAUUUUUAAAUAUGGAGUCCGCUUCUUAAAAAGUAGGCAUAGAAAGUAAAAGUUUGUUUGGAGAUACUUCAGAAAGAUGUGCAAAGGAGCCUUUUAAAUGUAAUCUGUGUUGAAAAGAUACUCUAUCCUACUUUUGUCUAUCAUGCUAUCUAACUGCAUUCAGUUCAUUCAGUCUUCGUAUCUGUUAUAAUAGUAUGUCUCAGAAGAAAUCCAAGCCAUCUACUCUUUUUUUCAUGUAUUCUUAAUGGAAUGAAAAAGAGGAACAAAAACUACAAUGAAAAGUAGUUUGAAAUUGUGUUUUGGAAUACAGGUUUUCCUAGAACAUGUUAAGAUGUAGGAUUCCACCACAUCUAAUUAAUUCAACUUUGCUUUGUAUGCAGCAUAUCCAUGCUCUGCCUUUUAUGCUUUUUAAAUCUCAUGAAGUAUCUACAACAAAAUAUUUGCAGAUGAUCUUAUGGGCUGUGUUUUACUCUGCUUUCAGUGUGGAUCCUAUUAAAUCCUCAGAUCAGAUACUAGCAGUUGCACUUGAACAAAAGCAUUUCCCAUUUAUUUUUCUGCUUCUGUGCAUAACACCAACUCUUCACUUACUAUAUUAAGUCUGUUUAGCUUUUAACUCAAAGUCUGUCAUUCUGUUCUAGUUAAUGAAAAGGCUUAUUGAUGUGUUAAUCGUGUAGGCUAUAAAAUGUUUGCCUCCUUUUUAAAAGUGUAGUUGCACAGAUGUGUUAGGUUGGUGGCUCUUCAAGACAUAAAGAGUAGUCUGUGGUUCAAGGAGGAAUGGUGUGUCGUAAGCAGGAAAGUAUGGUUUUAAUUAGUGUAACCAUAACUCCAACCACAGGACCAAUAAUUAAAUCAGUAUGGUCCAAUUGCUAUUUCAAUCAGAUUCAGAUUUUAUAGUCUGCUGUCUAAUACUGUAGCAGUCUUACUUCUUUUAAUCAUUUAAAUUGCAUCUUAUAAGCAAAAUCCUAUUUUCACCAUUUAUGACAGCACUGCAGAAAGGUUUGGUGUUGUAAAGCAGGAUACAAAGGGCUGUGUCUUACACAAUCUUUAAGUCUGUAAUGCAGCACUACUUGCCAAGGCAGACUUUAGGUGGGGCAGCAACAAGACCAGCAGGACACUGGCCAGUGAUGCAGAAACUGGAAUUACUCAGCAGGAUGUAUUUUUCCAGCUGUUCAGUAAUUUCUGUUUAAAAUCACAUAUGCGUGCAUGCAUGUGGGCACACACACACACAUACAGCCCAUUGAUGCCGCCUGCCCGUGCAGCACCACGUGGACACCCAUGAACUGGGCACUUGCUCUGACCACUCAAUCUGUUGGCCCUGACUGGGAGCCCAGCCCCUACAGAUGUAACCACUCCAGCACGGGCCCAGCCUGCUGCACCAUGCCUGACAUCCAGGGAUAUCUCCUGUCCCACACUGAGAGGCUAUUGUUUAGGUGAACUUUGGAAAAGAUCUGCUUAUAUUCUGUCCAAAAAUUAUAACUGAGUUAUUCUGCAAAUGAAACUGGCUUGGUUUACCUUUGAACAGUCUCCUUAUAUUUGUGUGGAAUCCAAGAGUUACUUUGCUAUGGUUGAGACUAUAGUCUUAGUAGUGACUUAGGAUAAUAUUUCAUUCCUAAGGUUCUGAUGUUGUUCCUGAUAUGUAUACUUCCCUUAUUCCAUAUACAAAUCACCACCUCAACAUUUUUAUGUGACCUUUUGAGAGCUUUUUGAGUUUCAUUGUGUUGAAAUCCACCACAUUUCUGAUAGGAAAAAACCAAACCAAAACAAAAAAACUCCAAAAGAAACGCUAAAUGGAAAGCUGGAGAGAGAAAAUUCUGUGGCAGCAUAUUUUUCCUUCCUGAAAAUUAGGCACACACAACAAUGAAAAAAAAAUUAACAAAAUCUUUAUUUCCCUCUUAGUGUAAUUACUUCCUCUAUAACCAUCAUGACAGUAUUAAACCUAUUAAAUGUAAUGCUGAUAGCUGGAAAAUAGAUGAUUCAAGGCACUAUGCAGCAAAUACCAUACAGCUUUAAUUUUUGCAUAAUGCUUCAUUUAUCAACAGUGCCUUGAGGACUUUUCCUGUGCUGAACUCAAUUUUUCUGUUGCAUAAGAUGAAUUAGUUUUCCUACUGGUCAAAACUGUAAUAUUUUGAAGAAAGAGGUUAGUAGUAUAGGAUCAGCAUGUUUUCUCAGUAAUGAUACCUCUUGCUUGAAUGAGUUACAGGUAUUUCCCAUUUACAUAUUAAUUUCUAAAUAAAUAAUUAGAAUAUGAGUGCCAAUAUGAGACCAAAUGUGUUGACAAUGAGAGACAUUAAAAAUGGGGGAUUUCAGCUAUUGAUUUUAUCACAUAGAGAUUAUAUUCCCUAAGGUACAGGUAAACCUCCGUGCAAUUUCAGGGAUAUUGUUGGACUAAUGUAUUACAAUAACUUGAAAAAAAAGUAAAUAAAUACAGUGCUCUUAACAUCAAAAGACUACAUUUUUAAUGAGGAUUAAGAUAUAUUUUUGUUUACAUUUUAUGUAGGUAAAGGAAACCUUAAUUAAAAAGUAAGUGCUAAUUAUUUUUUUUAAAGGCAAACCAGAAACUCCAUGGAAAAUAAUGAAGAUGGAAUUACCUAUUUCAAAUUGGACAAGUUAUUUUUAGGCAGAAUGGACUUCCCAUCUUUGAGCCUAGGCUAGAAGUGUAUUUGUUAAAGAACAGAUAGAUGUGUCCUUCAUUACUAUUAUAACAGAAUAAAUAAGUGGUUGCUACUGUCAAAUUAUAAGUUUUAAUUAUUAGGCUGGACCUUAAUAAUGGUAAGUCAAUGUUUAAGUCUUUGUUGUGCACAAAAGCAGCUUCACUAAUGAAACACAAACAAAUCACCCAUGUAUUCCAAAUGUUUUUAAAAUAAAGAUUGAAGAGAGAAUAAAGACAGCCUAUAAAAAAAAGCCUUGAAAAUGUGGAAAGCAUAGAUAGAGCUUAUCAAGGUAAAACCAAUCAUAUUAAAAGUUUCACUUCAUCUGGCCAAUAGAAAUUGUAAAAAAAAAAAUAAAUGCAUUUUUCUCUUUGUGAUGCACCUGUCAUGUUGAUAAUCAGAGCUGUGUAACUCUUUUGCAGGUAAGACAGACCAUUGUCAUGUCCAAGUGCACAAAGUACGUGAAACAGUUCCUGAGACAUAGAUACUGCUGUCCCGUUUUGGAUUUAAUAUCAGUGCAGUAUUAAAUUGUCUUCAGUUCCCUACACUUCUUAUUUUCAUAUAGGCACACAGCAUUUCUCAAACACAGAAACUCAGAAUUCCAUCUCUCUGGGGCCACCUUUAGACACAGGUAAAGUAGCUGUUAUGGGUGUCUGGACCUGCUAAAUUAAAACCAUAACCUUCCUAUUUCCCUCCCAGCCAAAGACAAAGAAUUGGGCUGGUGAGGGCAACAUCAGAAGUGUGCUGGGAACCAAUACAGACCAGAGCAAUAUCAGGUGCCCAGGGCAGCCCAGGAGACAUUGCUGCCACUGCUGUCCUACUGCCUGUUCUCCAAAGUCGAGUAGUGCCUUUUGCUGUAUUUCUCCAAGCUAUAUGGCUAGUGCUUGCUAGGAUGUAGCAGUCCUUAAAUGAAUUAUGAAUAAAAUGGAAAUGAUUUUACUAAUCUUUUGGAUUUUGAGACUGUAGGUUGAAACUAGGUUGCAUUUUCAGACUGUUCCAUGCAGUUAUGAAAGCUAAGGCUAAUACAUGUGUCUAUGUACUUCUGUGUCUUUAUAAGUAUGUACGUUUGUGCACAAAUUGGUGACCCCGACAUGAUCCGUUUAAGGAUCUGACGUGAUGGGUUUAUGAACCGCCAGGCUGAGUGGCAGGCUGCGAGUCCCACAGAACAUUGAAUGAGCUGCUGAAAGGAAGCAGGAAUUGGAAAAAAAAGUCCCUCUGGAAUUAAGAGGUGAGCUGUGGGAAACUUGGGAAUCAGGUGUUCUUCCCCUAUGAGAGACGUAUAUGGACUCAUGAAGGGUCUUCUAGUCAGAUCCGGGAGUCCGUGCCUCAGUCUUCUCAAAUGGUGACCCCUAUGGUGGUGUUCCAAAGCCUUGGAAGAAUAAGGACAGAACUGAUCGAUAAAAAAGACAGCUCGUGGAAGAGGGCUGCAUUCCAGAGGAGACGUCUUGGCUGAACUAUCGUCUUGCUGGCUGGACCAGGCGGACAACCUGCAUCAAGACAGGUGAGCAGCCAAGAAACUUUAGAGACUUUGAAAGAAAUGAAAGUGUGUUCAUACAGCAGCCAAUUGUAUGAUGCUGUCGCGGAGGGGAACUCCAUGUCGGGAAUGCAUUUAGCACCUUGGUGGCAAAUUCUGACUAUUCUUUGCCAAGUGUGGACUAAUUAUACUAACGGUGCUAAACCAGAGGAAGCUGUAAAUUCCACCGACAGCGUGACUCUUCUUAACACACCGUCAGCAGUGACGAUUCCGUCCACACCUCCUCUGCCCCCAAAGCUUCUGUCACUGAUUGCAGUGACCCUCACAACACAGGACCAAGCAUGGGAACAGGACAACUCGGACAAUGAUUCCAUUGACACUGAUAAACCUUUUGAUCCAGGUCCUAUAGAUCUGGAAAAGGAGCUAAGACCUUUCCCCCACCCCCUUGUCUCCCCUGAUGCAUUGAUUGUAUUUUUGGGGAGGGUGAAAGGGGGUCUGAGGGAUUGGUGGCAGGAAUGCAAGUGGGAAACGCUUAAGGGAGGGGUUUUGGGAGUCGCUAUGGCAUAAUAGGUUAGUGAUAAAUAGCUAUGUAAUUACAUGAAUGAUUUUUGCCCUGAGCCUGGUGGUGCAUACAGCUGUGGUUUGUGUCCAGGCUCAGAGAUGUAAAUAUGGGCUUCUCUGUUAUGACUUUUUGACUGAACCAGUUCUUGUUUGGUGUGCCCUUCCACCUAUGUAUAAUGUUAAUCCAAAAGAAGUUGAUAUUGUUUAUUGUCUUUCUGUAGAUGCUAGUGUAGUAGGAGGCUAUGAUGGGAACGUAUUGCAGCGGUUCUUCUCUUAUAAAUCAUCUUGUUUGGUAGGCAGUUCAGAAUGUGAGUCAAAGUUGCCACUGCUUUUUGUUGUUGGUUCAAGGACACGGCUGUGAGGAUUUUGAUGGUAUGUGCUGCGUGGAUUUUAGGUGCCCCAUCGCAGCAACAUGUUACCAAAAUCUGAGAAAAUGUCAGCCUUUUUGGCAUCCAUUCACUCAAUUGACAGUAUUGUUUGUUUGCUGUUACCUUGGUUGCUGUCAUGUUUGCAAGGGCCCUGCAGAACACGGCAAACCUGGUACUAGCUGUUCAAAAACAAAAAGGGGAAAUUGUAAAAAUGUACAGAACAGAGACAGUGGGUUGUUUUGACAUUGAUAAUAUGUCUUAGUUGCUUUUUUUAUUUGUUCUAUUACAAAAACUAAUGACUCGUUCGGUUUCAAAGGUUCUUUGCGUGCAACAGGAAGGGGGAGAUGCAGGAGCGGGCUGGAAACUAGGACCAUGCGUGGCAAUCAGUUAGCUGAGGGGAAUGGGAGUGGGGGACGGAUGGCGCCAAGUAUGGCGCCAAGUAAAGAUAACACCUUGCUGCUGAUUGAUGGUAGUUAACCACCAAUCGGGGACUGCCUAGUAUGCAAUGCUUAGCUCAAAAGAACUAAUCUGUUUAGAAUGCGCAACUUCUGAAAGUAUAUAUAUCCAUGUUUUUAUACAAUAAAUUGACAUUUGCUUGCA